rnacentral:lncRNA from 1 species
AGUGAAAACUUGACUCUCAUAUUGACUCCCCAGAUGGACACACAGGUGAUUGAGGUUAUGGUCUCAUCACCACGAGGUAUUGUGUCCAUCCCCCCUGGGGAUCGACCAGAUCAGGUGUUGAUGUGGGCGAGAGGGUCUGUUUGUGUGUUUCCACAGGACCAGAUGGAACCUCUUUGGGUGCCGGAGAGAUUGGUGAGACGCUGCAAGAAUGAGGCUCCUGAUCCAGUUGCCCCUGUGGAUGUGGUGGAUGAUCCCACAAGCACAAACGAUGGAGCCGAGAUGAGAGAUCCUUUCGGUAUUCCAGAAGCCGAUACCAGCUCGACAUGA